rnacentral:rRNA from 1 species
GAGUUUGAUCAUGGCUCAGGAUGAACGCCGACAGAAUGCUUAACACAUGCAAGUCUACUUGAUCCUUCGGGUGAAGGUGGCGGACGGGUGAGUAACGCGUAAAGAACUUGCCUUACAGACUGGGACAACAUUUGGAAACGAAUGCUAAUACCGGAUAUUAUGAUUGGAUCGCAUGAUCUGAUUAUGAAAGCUAUAUGCGCUGUGAGAGAGCUUUGCGUCCCAUUAGUUAGUUGGUGAGGUAACGGCUCACCAAGACGAUGAUGGGUAGCCGGCCUGAGAGGGUGAACGGCCACAAGGGGACUGAGACACGGCCCUUACUCCUACGGGAGGCAGCAGUGGGGAAUAUUGGACAAUGGACCAAAAGUCUGAUCCAGCAAUUCUGUGUGCACGAUGAAGUUUUUCGGAAUGUAAAGUGCUUUCAGUUGGGAAGAAGUCAGUGACGGUACCAACAGAAGAAGCGACGGCUAAAUACGUGCCAGCAGCCGCGGUAAUACGUAUGUCGCAAGCGUUAUCCGGAUUUAUUGGGCGUAAAGCGCGUCUAGGCGGCUUAGUAAGUCUGAUGUGAAAAUGCGGGGCUCAACCCCGUAUUGCGUUGGAAACUGCUAAACUAGAGUACUGGAGAGGUAGGCGGAACUACAAGUGUAGAGGUGAAAUUCGUAGAUAUUUGUAGGAAUGCCGAUGGGGAAGCCAGCCUACUGGACAGAUACUGACGCUAAAGCGCGAAAGCGUGGGUAGCAAACAGGAUUAGAUACCCUGGUAGUCCACGCCGU